UUUUUUUACUCCAAAUUUUGACAUUUAGGUACUUUUUCGGGCCUUUUCGUUCCGUGCUACAUUACGGGACCAAAAUUGUAUGUGCGGACGUUGUUUUUGCAUUUAUUUCAUGUAUCCAGCCUCGUUAAGACUAGAUUGGGUAUCCCUACGUAGCGGGUGGGACCCACGGCGAAUGGUUCCUAAAGUCGCCAAAAAAGUAUUA
rnacentral:sRNA from 1 species